rfam:Hordeum vulgare subsp. vulgare, WGS project CAJW01000000 data, contig: morex_contig_1569212
UAUAUACUCCCUCCGUCCUAAAAUUAUUGUGUUAAAUUUAUCUAAAAAUAAAUGUAUCUAAAUACUAAAACGUAACUACAUACAUUCAUAUCUAGAUAAAUCUAAGACAAGAAUUUUGGGACGGAUGGAGUAUGAA